UACGUAGGGUGCAGGCGUUAAUCGGAAUUACUGGGCGUAAAGCGUGCGCAGGCGGUUUGCUAAGACAGGUGUGAAAUCCCCGGGCUUAACCUGGGAACUGCGCUUGUAACUGGCAAGCUAGAGUGUGGCAGAGGGGGGUGGAAUUCCACGUGUAGCAGUGAAAUGCGUAGAGAUGUGGAGGAACACCGGUGGCGAAGGCGGCAUCCUGGGCCGGUAUUGACGCUGAGGAGCGAAAGCCAGGGGAGCAAACGGG
rnacentral:rRNA from 1 species